GAUGAACGCUAGCGGCAGGCUUAAUACAUGCAAGUCGUGGGGCAGCAGGACUGUAGCCAUACAGUUGCUGGCGACCGGCAAACGGGUGCGGAACACGUACGCAACUUACCCUGAACUGGGGGAUAGCCCGGGGAAACCCGGAUUAAUACCCCGUAAUAUAAUGGAGUGGCAUCACUUUAUUAUUAAAGCCCCGGCGGUUCGGGAUGGGCGUGCGGCUGAUUAGGUAGUUGGUUGAGGUAACGGCUCACCAAGCCUACGAUCAGUAACUGGUGUGAGAGCACGUCCAGUCACACGGGCAAUGAGCCACGGGCCAGACUCCUACGGGAGGAAGCAGAAAGGAAUAUAGAGAGAUGGAAGCGACUCUGACCCAGCCAUGCCGCGUGGAGGAUGAAGGCCCUCUGGGUUAUAAACUUCUUUUAGAGGAGACGAAGCCUGUGUAUUCUUACGCAGUUGACGGUACCCUAGGAAUAAGCACCGGCUAACUCCGUG
rnacentral:rRNA from 1 species